CAGUCGCAAUCCCUCAGAUCAGACAGGGGGCUCCUUCUGUAGCAGAAACCUCGAAAGCAUAGAUCUCUGAAUGGCAGGUGAACUGCAAGAGUGACAGCUAUCUAUUCAGCCCUGCAUUUUACCCAGGAAAAUCCAGAGAUGAUGACUAAGUGAUGGGGGUACAAAUUUGAGAUGUCUCAGCCAACCAGAGAGUUCAACUGAUCUGGCACUGCUGGCCUUUCUGAAGAACAAGAAAAAGGCUUCCUUGCCUAUCUAGAAGAAAUUGACUUUUUUCCAGCUAAUGGAAGGUUACAAGAACUGCCCUUUCCACAAAGUACAAGUACAUAUUUCUCAUGAAUAGUUACAGAAGCAAUCAAAUGGAGAAAGAAGAUGAAGGGAGAAGAUUCUCCACCAAGGUUUCACAGGAUAUCUCUGGGUGGAUUCUUGGCCAGAGGGGUUUUACUUCACAGCUGGAUUGUAAAUGAACACAUACAUAAGCGGAGAAGAUGAACUCUGAAGAAAUUUUUUGGUACAUUAGCAAGGAAACUUUAGCAUUAAGUCAACUGUAAGAGAAGGAGCAUGGCCUAGUGGAUAGAGCACCGGCCUGGUGGUCAGGACCUGGGUUCUAAUUCAGCUCCUCC